rnacentral:rRNA from 1 species
AACGAACGCUGGCGGCAGGCCUAACACAUGCAAGUCGAACGAAGCCUUCGGGCUUAGUGGCGCACGGGUGCGUAACGCGUGGGAAUCUGCCCCUUGCUUCGGAAUAACAGUUAGAAAUGACUGCUAAUACCGGAUGAUGUCUUCGGACCAAAGAUUUAUCGGCAAGGGAUGAGCCCGCGUAGGAUUAGGUAGUUGGUGGGGUAAAGGCCUACCAAGCCGACGAUCCUUAGCUGGUCUGAGAGGAUGAUCAGCCACACUGGGACUGAGACACGGCCCAGACUCCUACGGGAGGCAGCAGUGGGGAAUAUUGGACAAUGGGGGGAACCCUGAUCCAGCAAUGCCGCGUGAGUGAUGAAGGCCUUAGGGUUGUAAAGCUCUUUUACCAGGGAUGGUAAUGACAGUACCUGGAGAAUAAGCUCCGGCUAACUCCGUGCCAGCCGCCGCUGUAACAC